GACGAACGCUGGCGGCGUGGAUUAGGCAUGCAAGUCGAACGGUAUCAUCCUUUCGGGGGUGAGAGAGUGGCGAACUGGUGAGUAACACGUAGGUUAUCUACCCUCAAGACGGGGACAACCCAGGGAAACUUGGGCUAAUACCGGAUGUGAGCAACUUUUAGUUGUUUGAAAGGUGGCGUAAGCUGUCGCUUGGGGAUGAGCCUGCGUCCUAUUAGUUAGUUGGUGAGGUAACGGCUCACCUAGGCAAUGAUAGGUAGGCGGCCUUAACGGGUGGUCGCCCACACUGGGAUUGAGAUACGGCCCAGACUCCUACGGGAGGCAGCAGUCGAGAAUAGUCUACAAUGGUCGGAAGACUGAUAGUGCGACGCCGCGUGAACGAUGAAUCCCUUCGGGGUGUAAAGUUCUUUUAUAUGUGAGCAGUGCUUCUUAUAUUAACAGUAUGGGGAGAGAGAUAUUAGCAUAUGAAUAAGCAACGGCUAACUCCGUGCCAGCAGCCGUGGU
rnacentral:rRNA from 1 species